GACGAACGCUGGCGGCGUGCUUAACACAUGCAAGUCGAACGAUGAUCCCCCGCUUGCGGGGGUGAUUAGUGGCGAACGGGUGAGUAAUACGUGAGUAACCUGCCCUUGACUCUGGGAUAAGCCUGGAAGACCGGGUCUAAUACUUGAUACUACUUCCUGCCGCAUGGUGGGGGGUGGAGAUGGUUUUACUGGUGGUGGGUGGGCUCGCGGCCUAUAGGCUUGUUGGUGGAGUGAUUGCUCACCCAGCCGACCGCGGGUCGCCGGCCAGUGGGGGUGACCGGCCACACUGGGACUGAGACACGGCCGAGGCGCCGACGAGAGGCAGCAGGGGGGAAUCUUGAUCCAGGCGCGGCGGCUGGAUGAAGAAGGGCUGCGUGUGGGAUGACGGCUUUCUGGUUGUAGACCAGUUUCAGGAUAGAAGAAGCCUCUAGUGACGGUACCUGAAGAAGAAGCGCCGGCUAACUACGUG
rnacentral:rRNA from 1 species